CCUACGGGUGGCAGCAGUGGGGAAUUUUACGCAAUGGGGGAAACCCUGACGUAGCGACACCGCGUGAGCGAAGAAGCCCUUUGGGGUGUAAAGCUCUGUCAACAGGAACGAAACAAAUGACGGUACCUGUGGAGGAAGCAUCGGCUAACUACGUGCCAGCAGCCGCGGUAAGACGUAGGAUGCAAGCGUUGUCCGGAUUUAUUGGGCGUAAAGAGUUCGUAGGCGGUUUGUUAAGUCUGAUGUUAAAGACCGGGGCUCAACCUCGGAAAUGCAUUGGAUACUGGCAGACUGGAGUGCAGUAGAGGCUAGUGGAAUUCCCAGUGUAGCGGUGAAAUGCGUAGAUAUUGGGAAGAACACCGGUGGCGUAGGCGACUAGCUGGGCUGUAACUGACGCUGAGGAACGAAAGCCAGGGGAGCGAAUGGGAUUAGAUACCCCAGUAGUC
rnacentral:rRNA from 1 species